rnacentral:rRNA from 1 species
UACGUAGGUGGCAAGCGUUGUCUGGAUUUACUGGGUGUAAAGGGCGUGCAGCCGGGCUGACAAGUCAGAUGUGAAAUCCCGCGGCUCAACCGCGGAACUGCAUUUGAAACUGUCAGUCUUGAGUACCGGAGAGGUCAUCGGAAUUCCUUGUGUAGCGGUGAAAUGCGUAGAUAUAAGGAAGAACACCAGUGGCGAAGGCGGAUGACUGGACGGCAACUGACGGUGAGGCGCGAAAGCGUGGGGAGCAAACAGG